GCAUCUUUGGUGUAAUGGUUAGCAUUCGGGCCUUCCAAGCUCGAGAUCGGGGUUCAAUUCCCCGGAGAUGCA
rnacentral:tRNA from 1 species